GCGAGUAUUUAAACCCGGCCAGUACUGGAGGCCAAUCAGUAGUCCUACAAUGUUCAGUCUAACGCAGCAGUUCCUGUUGGUUCUGACAGCCGCGGUGGCGUUACUGGUCACUCUACCUCUUCCUCCAUUCAUCGUCUUCUAGACGUCUACAGUGAAUCAUCCGAAGAAUUUUGUCAUUAUAAGACUUCACAAGCCAAAAUCGUAUCAUUUACUCAUCACCGACCAUGAACAAGCAGAAUUGCAUCUCGUACAUGUUACCUCAAGGAGACCGCGACAAGAAGACUGUCCGAGGUA
rnacentral:misc_RNA from 1 species